UGAGGAAUUUUCCGCAAUGGGCGAAAGCCUGACGGAGCAACGCCGCGUGGAGGAUGACGGCUUUCGGGUUGUAAACUCCUUUCAGCAGGGACGAAGCGAAAGUGACGGUACCUGCAGAAGAAGCCCCGGCCAACUACGUGCCAGCAGCCGCGGUAAGACGUAGGGGGCAAGCGUUGUUCGGAAUCAUUGGGCGUAAAGCGCUCGUAGGCGGUCGAUUAAGUCGGAUGUGAAAACCCAGGGCUCAACCCUGGGCCUGCAUUCGAAACUGGUCGACUCGAGUCCAGAAGAGGCAAGUGGAAUUCCCGGUGUAGCGGUGAAAUGCGCAGAUAUCGGGAAGAACACCAGUGGCGAAGGCGGCUUGCUGGGAUGUGACUGACGCUGAGGAGCGAAAGCUAGGGGAGCAAACAGG
rnacentral:rRNA from 1 species